rnacentral:rRNA from 1 species
GUGCCAGCAGCCGCGGUAAGACGAACCGUGCGAACGUUAUUCGGAAUCAUUGGGCUUAAAGGGCGCGUAGGCGGCGGUGUAAGUUGGAAGUGAAAUCCCAUCGGCUCAACCGUGGAAUUGCUCCCAGUACUGCACUGCUCGAGGGGGAUAGGGGUCCGCGGAACUACCGGUGGAGCGGUGAAAUGUGUUGAUAUCGGUGGGAACGCCAGUGGCGAAAGCGGCGGACUUGACCCUUCCUGACGCUGAUGCGCGAAAGCUAGGGGAGCAAACGGGAUUAGAUACCCGAGUAGUCC